GAUGGAUGAUGAAGACUGGGAUCGCAAGUAUCCCCCGAUGCCGCAGACUGAUAUUGCGGAGAAGAUAGUCGCCGGAGUACCCAAUCUCGAGGAAGUCGAGAAGGGGGACAUAGUGGGGGCUUACACGAUCAAGGACGGCCUACUGAUCUACCAUUUCUACAAAAAAGACCGCAAAGAGAUCUAUGACGCUGCUCACGUAGAGAUGGACAGAAUUGGGGACGAAGUCGAUGACCCGAAAAAGAAAGCGGAACUUAGAGACACAGUAGCAUCCCAGGCUAAUGCGUCCUUAGAAAACCAUCCCUGGUGGCCGAGUUUCGAAUCUGAGCUCGGAGCCGUCUUUUCUGAGGUCUUCAAGUACCAAGAGCACAAAGCCACGUUCUAUCGGGAGGGGGACUCGUGGU
rnacentral:rRNA from 1 species